UUUCUAUUGUAAAUUUGUUUCGUUUUGAUAAUGAUUAUUCAAUUUUAGAUGAUAUAGAUGUUUGCAUUUAUAAUUGUAAGAGGGAAACUACUUGAGUGAGAUAAACCAUUCAAACUGUCAUCUAGAUGCAGGACUACGUUCUGAGGUCUAAUAUUCAAGUUAUCACUAAUUUUAUAUUCAUAAUAUCUUCUUCAUUUCAAGAUAAGAUUAUAUUGUUAAUAGUUAUUAUCAAUAAAAUAUUGGAAUCAUGUUGCAACUUUAGUUAUAUUCUUAUUCAAAAAUAUUGUUUUGUUCAGUAGUUAUAUUCAUGGAAUAUCAAUUUAUUAUUACUUGAUGUGCUAAUUUUUUAUUUUAAAUAUUGUUUAGUUUAGUUGAUGAUUACCCAAUUCUAGAUGAUAUUGAUGAUUGUGCUCAUAAUAGUUGAGGGGACCAGGUUUAGCAGAUGAAGCAUUCAUACCAUCAUCUAGAUGUAGGAAUAGGUAUUGAGUUAUUUUGUCAGCAUUAAUAAUCGGAAUAAGUUUGUUUCUUCUUUCACCAUUGCGAGACCAUCUUCCGCGCCUUUUGAUAGUUCUCCUCAAUCUGAUAUUGGUUCUUCUUUCAUCAAUUUCUUGAACGAGAGACCAUUGAAUUCUGAGGAGCUGCAGAAUUAUAUGACAGAUGUGACCGCCGGGAGUAUGUGGGAUGGUGUUCUGAGAAGCGAUUAUCCAUCUGCUUUUCCUUUGUCUACUCAUGUUUUAUAAUGGGUGACUGUUUCUCGAUAGAGGGAUGGGAUUCAAGAUCAUUUCGGCACUAAUGGCAAUCGUCGGAGGGCAAGUUUCAUGUAAAUAGCAAACUGAAUAGUGGAUACCAUUGUUAGUAUGUGUAUUGCUUUCAAGCUGGUUUUUACAUGAACGAGAUAGAUCUAUGGAAAUUUAAAAGAUAGGUAUUGUAGAUGUCUGUGAAAGUAAAUAAUUCCUCAUUUAACCA